rnacentral:rRNA from 1 species
AGUGGCGGACGGGUGAGUAACGCGUGAGAAUCUACCUUCAGGACGGGGACAACAGCUGGAAACGGCUGCUAAUACCCGAUAUGCCGAAAGGUGAAAAGUUUUUUCGCCUGGAGAGGAGCUCGCGUCCGAUUAGCUAGUUGGUGAGGUAAAAGCUUACCAAGGCGACGAUCGGUAGCUGGUCUGAGAGGAUGAGCAGCCACACUGGAACUGAGACACGGUCCAGACUCCUACGGGAGGCAGCAGUGGGGAAUUUUCCGCAAUGGGCGAAAGCCUGACGGAGCAACGCCGCGUGGGGGAAGAAGGUUUUUGGAUUGUAAACCCCUUUUCUCAAGGAAGACCAAAAUGACGGUACUUGAGGAAUCAGCCUCGGCUAACUCCGUGCCAGCAGCCGCGGUAAUACGGAGGAGGCAAGCGUUAUCCGGAAUUAUUGGGCGUAAAGCGUUCGUAGGCGGCUGUUCAAGUCUGCUGUCAAAGACCGAGGCUCAACCUCGGGUAGGCAGUGGAAACUGGAUAGCUAGAGGUCGGUAGGGGCAGAGGGAAUUCCCAGUGUAGCGGUGAAAUGCGUAGAUAUUGGGAAGAACACCGGUGGCGAAAGCGCUCUGCUGGGCCGAACCUGACGCUGAGGGACGAAAGCUAGGGGAGCGAAUGGGAUUAGAUACCCC